rnacentral:misc_RNA from 1 species
GGCCUUUUCUUUUUAACUACUUUAUAGCAUUUAAGCACAAUGCAAGUCAUCUGCUUGGCAAUUACUAAUACAACUAUAAAUUUGUUAGGUAACAAGCACUCCCAGCAACAUCAACCUGAAUUAAUAUUCACAACAAAGUAAUAUUCUAAUUUCUCAAUCUUCUACAAAUUGUUGGACAAAUUAUGUUUUUAUGAAUAUUUUAUCAAGGGCAGAAACACAAUGCAUCAUGAAAAGCUCAGCAAGGUCCCA